UCGAGAAUCUUCCGCAAUGGACGAAAGUCUGACGGAGCGACGCCGCGUGUGGGAUGAAGGCCUUCGGGUUGUAAAGCUCUUUCGGACGGGACGAAAUGGUUACGGUGAAUAACUGUGACUGAUGACGGUACCGUAAUAAGAAGCACCGGCUAACUACGUGCCAGCAGCCGCGGUAAUACGUAGGGUGCGAGCGUUAAUCGGAAUUACUGGGCGUAAAGCGUGCGCAGGCGGUUCGCCAAGUCAGGUGUGAAAUCCCCGGGCUUAACCUGGGAAUUGCGCUUGAAACUAGCGGGCUUGAGUGUGGCAGAGGGGGGUGGAAUUCCACGUGUAGCAGUGAAAUGCGUAGAGAUGUGGAGGAACACCGAUGGCGAAGGCAGCCCCCUGGGUCAACACUGACGCUCAUGCACGAAAGCGUGGGGAGCAAACAGGAUUAGAUACCCCCGUAGUCCCUGAGCGGGCUGGCAAGGCGCAU
rnacentral:rRNA from 1 species